rnacentral:rRNA from 1 species
CGCUAUGCAUGCAAGUCGAACGGGCGAAGGGGCUUCGGCCCCCUAGCUAGUGGCAGACGGCUGAGUAAUACGUAAGUGAUCUACCCCGGAGAGGGGGAUAAGCCGGAGAAAUCCGGUCUAAUACCCCGUACGCUCCCUCUAUUACGGUAGAGAGAGGAAAGUUCCGGCGCUCUGGGAGGAGCUUGCGGCCUAUCAUGGUAGUUGGUGGGGUAAAAGCCUACCAAGCCGAAGACGGGUAACCGGUGUGAGAGCACGAUCGGUCAGAGGGGGACUGAGACACGGCCCCCACUCCUACGGGAGGCAGCAGCAGGGAAUCUUGCGCAAUGGGCGAAAGCCUGACGCAGCGACACCGCGUGGGGGAUGAAGGCUCUCGAGUUGUAAACCCCUUUUCUCGGGGAAGAGACAGGACGGUACCCGAGGAAUAAGGUUCGGCUAACUACGUGCCAGCAGCCGCGGUAAUACGUAGGAACCGAGCGUUGUCCGGAUUUACUGGGCGUAAAGUGCGCGUAGGCGGUUCGUUAAGUCUCAUGUGAAAUCUCCCAGCUCAACUGGGAGGGGUCAUGGGAUACUGGCAGACUUGAGUACAGCAGAGGGGAGUGGAAUUCCCGGAGUAGUGGUGGAAUGCGUAGAUACCGGGAGGAACACCAGAGGCGAAGGCGACUCCCUGGGCUGUGUCUGACGCUGAGGCGCGAAAGCGUGGGUAGCAAACCGGAUUAGAUACCCGGGUAGUCCACGCCCUAAACGAUGGAUACUAGGUAUGGGGGGUAUCGACCCCCUCCGUGCCGCAGCUAACGCAUUAAGUAUCCCGCCUGAGGAGUACGGCCGCAAGGCUAAAACUCAAAGGAAUUGACGGGGACCCGCACAAGCAGCGGAUCGUGUGUUUAAUUCGAUGAUAAGCGAAGAACCUUACCAGGCUUGAAUGCAUCUGACAGGCUGGAAACCAGUUUUUCCUUCGGGACAGUUGCACAGAUGUUGCAUGGCUGUC